UCAGGACCAAGUGCGUGAGCCCACUCCAAUCAUGUCUCUUCUUCAAAAUCCAGUUUCUUCCAAACUCCACUUUGCUCCAAGUCUUUUCAAGAUUCCAAACAGAUGGAAUGAACCCCAGAGGCUGGUACAGCCACAUGGACCUGGUUCCCCAAGAGGAGAGGGGGCUCAGCAACCCUGCUCAGAGGAAGCUUCCUGGCUGGUGCCUGGUGCUCAGAGCCAAUGGGCUGAGGUAGUCUGGGAAAACUGGAAGAAAAGAUAAUGCCAGAAAGUUAUGGUAAAACUUAAGAUGCGGCCGAAGUCGCUUUCUUUGCCCCUGCUGCGAGUGUUUGAAUAAGAAGAAUGCUCCUGGACUGUAACAAGCAAAAAGAAUGAAGAAGACAAAAGAUUUCCAGAAAAAGGUUUAGCUAGAAGAC
ensembl:lncRNA